ACCCUUUUCUACGGAAUAGCUCUGGGAAACUGGAAUUAAUACCGUAUACGCCCUACGGGGGAAAGAUUUAUCGGGGAAGGAUUGGCCCGCGUUGGAUUAGCUAGUUGGUGGGGUAAAGGCCUACCAAGGCGACGAUCCAUAGCUGGUCUGAGAGGAUGAUCAGCCACAUUGGGACUGAGACACGGCCCAAACUCCUACGGGAGGCAGCAGUGGGGAAUAUUGGACAAUGGGCGCAAGCCUGAUCCAGCCAUGCCGCGUGAGUGAUGAAGGCCUUAGGGUUGUAAAGCUCUUUCACCGAUGAAGAUAAUGACGGUAGUCGGAGAAGAAGCCCCGGCUAACUUCGUGCCAGCAGCCGCGGUGAUACGAAGGGGGCUAGCGUUGUUCGGAAUUACUGGGCGUAAAGCGCACGUAGGCGGAUAUUUAAGUCAGGGGUGAAAUCCCAGAGCUCAACUCUGGAACUGCCUUUGAUACUGGGUAUCUUGAGUAUGGAAGAGGUAAGUGGAAUUGCGAGU
rnacentral:rRNA from 1 species